GUUUAAAUAGCUUAACAAUAAAGCAUCAGUCUUGUAAACUGAAGAGUAGAGGUUAACACCUCUUUUAAACU
rnacentral:tRNA from 1 species